GACUCCAUGAUCCGAAUGCACACGAUGUAUGUCAACACUAUCCUGCAAAAGAUUAGAACUAACCAAAGACAAUGCAGGAAUAGAUGGUCUAGCAGACAUAGGUAGCAACCAACAAUGCUCCCCUUCUUGGAAGUGAACUUGUUUCUUUGAGGAACAUGAGAAAAUAUUUGUAUUAUUAUGGCUGCCCUCUACACGAUCAUAAUCUUGUACAACAAAAGGAGAAUUCAUAUUACUACGACCACAA
rnacentral:lncRNA from 1 species